UCCUUUACUGGCAGGCAUUUAAAAAAUGAUGCUUACUGUUUCAAACCAAAAACCCCUGACUGUUAAUCAGGGGGUCUCAGGUUCAAGUCCUGAAGGGGGAG
rnacentral:tRNA from 1 species